AGCGUACACGGUGGAUGCCCUGGCAGUCAGAGGCGAUGAAGGGCGUGCUAAUCUGCGAUAAGCGCCGGUAAGGUGAUAUGAACCGUUAUAACCGGCGAUACCCGAAUGGGGAAACCCAGUGUGACUCGUCACACUAUCAUUAACUGAAUCCAUAGGUUAAUGAGGCGAACCGGGGGAACUGAAACAUCUAAGUACCCCGAGGAAAAGAAAUCAACCGAGAUUCCCCCAGUAGCGGCGAGCGAACGGGGAGGAGCCCAGAGCCUGAAUCAGCAUGUGUGUUAGUGGAAGCGUCUGGAAAGGCGCGCGAUACAGGGUGACAGCCCCGUACACAAAAGCGCAUGUGCUGUGAGCUCGAUGAGUAGGGCGGGACACGUGGUAUCCUGUCUGAAUAUGGGGGGACCAUCCUCCAAGGCUAAAUACUCCUGACUGACCGAUAGUGAACCAGUACCGUGAGGGAAAGGCGAAAAGAACCCCGGCGAGGGGAGUGAAAAAGAACCUGAAACCGUGUACGUACAAGCAGUGGGAGCACAGGUUUACCUGUGUGACUGCGUACCUUUUGUAUAAUGGGUCAGCGACUUAUAUUCUGUAGCAAGGUUAACCGAAUAGGGGAGCCGGAGGGAAACCGAGUCUUAAUUGGGCGUUAAGUUGCAGGGUAUAGACCCGAAACCCGGUGAUCUAGCCAUGGGCAGGUUGAAGGUUGGGUAACACUAACUGGAGGACCGAACCGACUAAUGUUGAAAAAUUAGCGGAUGACCUGUGGCUGGGGGUGAAAGGCCAAUCAAACCGGGAGAUAGCUGGUUCUCCCCGAAAGCUAUUUAGGUAGCGCCUCGUGAACUCAUCUCCGGGGGUAGAGCACUGUUUCGGCUAGGGGGCCAUCCCGGCUUACCAACCCGAUGCAAACUGCGAAUACCGGAGAAUGUUAUCACGGGAGACACACGGCGGGUGCUAACGUCCGUCGUGAAGAGGGAAACAACCCAGACCGCCAGCUAAGGUCCCAAAGUCAUGGUUAAGUGGGAAACGAUGUGGGAAGGCCCAGACAGCCAGGAUGUUGGCUUAGAAGCAGCCAUCAUUUAAAGAAAGCGUAAUAGCUCACUGGUCGAGUCGGCCUGCGCGGAAGAUGUAACGGGGCUAAACCAUGCACCGAAGCUGCGGCAGCGAACGUAUCACUUAAAGCGAUUCAGCGGGUUACGAUUGACGGAGCGAAGCGACGUCAAAGCGUAUACAAAGUCGAGUCGGUUUAAGGAUACGUUCGUUGGGUAGGGGAGCGUUCUGUAAGCCUGUGAAGGUGGCCUGUGAGGGUUGCUGGAGGUAUCAGAAGUGCGAAUGCUGACAUAAGUAACGAUAAAGCGGGUGAAAAGCCCGCUCGCCGGAAGACCAAGGGUUCCUGUCCAACGUUAAUCGGGGCAGGGUGAGUCGACCCCUAAGGCGAGGCCGAAAGGCGUAGUCGAUGGGAAACAGGUUAAUAUUCCUGUACUUGGUGUUACUGCGAAGGGGGGACGGAGAAGGCUAUGUUGGCCGGGCGACGGUUGUCCCGGUUUAAGCGUGUAGGCUGGUUUUCCAGGCAAAUCCGGAAAAUCAAGGCUGAGGCGUGAUGACGAGGCACUACGGUGCUGAAGCAACAAAUGCCCUGCUUCCAGGAAAAGCCUCUAAGCAUCAGGUAACAUCAAAUCGUACCCCAAACCGACACAGGUGGUCAGGUAGAGAAUACCAAGGCGCUUGAGAGAACUCGGGUGAAGGAACUAGGCAAAAUGGUGCCGUAACUUCGGGAGAAGGCACGCUGACACGUAGGUGAAGUGAUUUACUCACGGAGCUGAAGUCAGUCGAAGAUACCAGCUGGCUGCAACUGUUUAUUAAAAACACAGCACUGUGCAAACACGAAAGUGGACGUAUACGGUGUGACGCCUGCCCGGUGCCGGAAGGUUAAUUGAUGGGGUCAGCGCAAGCGAAGCUCCUGAUCGAAGCCCCGGUAAACGGCGGCCGUAACUAUAACGGUCCUAAGGUAGCGAAAUUCCUUGUCGGGUAAGUUCCGACCUGCACGAAUGGCGUAAUGAUGGCCAGGCUGUCUCCACCCGAGACUCAGUGAAAUUGAACUCGCUGUGAAGAUGCAGUGUACCCGCGGCAAGACGGAAAGACCCCGUGAACCUUUACUAUAGCUUGACACUGAACAUUGAGCCUUGAUGUGUAGGAUAGGUGGGAGGCUUUGAAGUGUGGACGCCAGUCUGCAUGGAGCCGACCUUGAAAUACCACCCUUUAAUGUUUGAUGUUCUAACGUGGACCCGUAAUCCGGGUUGCGGACAGUGUCUGGUGGGUAGUUUGACUGGGGCGGUCUCCUCCUAAAGAGUAACGGAGGAGCACGAAGGUUGGCUAAUCCUGGUCGGACAUCAGGAGGUUAGUGCAAUGGCAUAAGCCAGCUUGACUGCGAGCGUGACGGCGCGAGCAGGUGCGAAAGCAGGUCAUAGUGAUCCGGUGGUUCUGAAUGGAAGGGCCAUCGCUCAACGGAUAAAAGGUACUCCGGGGAUAACAGGCUGAUACCGCCCAAGAGUUCAUAUCGACGGCGGUGUUUGGCACCUCGAUGUCGGCUCAUCACAUCCUGGGGCUGAAGUAGGUCCCAAGGGUAUGGCUGUUCGCCAUUUAAAGUGGUACGCGAGCUGGGUUUAGAACGUCGUGAGACAGUUCGGUCCCUAUCUGCCGUGGGCGCUGGAGAACUGAGGGGGGCUGCUCCUAGUACGAGAGGACCGGAGUGGACGCAUCACUGGUGUUCGGGUUGUCAUGCCAAUGGCACUGCCCGGUAGCUAAAUGCGGAAGAGAUAAGUGCUGAAAGCAUCUAAGCACGAAACUUGCCCCGAGAUGAGUUCU
rnacentral:rRNA from 1 species